rnacentral:rRNA from 1 species
GGGGAAUUUUGGACAAUGGGCGCAAGCCUGAUCCAGCCAUGCCGCGUGCGGGAAGAAGGCCUUCGGGUUGUAAAUCGCUUUUGUCAGGGAAGAAAUCCUUUGAGCUACUACCUCGGGGGGAUGACGGUACCUGAAGAAUAAGCACCGGCUAACUACGUGCCAGCAGCCGCGGUAAUACGUAGGGUGCAAGCGUUAAUCGGAAUUACUGGGCGUAAAGCGUGCGCAGGCGGUCAUGAAAGUCAGAUGUGAAAUCCCCGGGCUCAACCGGAGAACUGCAUUUGUGACUGCAUGGCUGGAGUGCGGCAGAGGGGGAUGGAAUUCCGCGUGUAGCAGUGAAAUGCGUAGAUAUGCGGAAGAACACCGGUGGCGAAGGCAGUCCCCUGGGCCUGAACUGACACUCAUGCACGAAAGCGUGGGGAGCAAACA